rnacentral:rRNA from 1 species
CCUACGGGAGGCAGCAGUGAGGAAUAUUGGUCAAUGGGCGGGAGCCUGAACCAGCCAAGUCGCGUGAGGGAAGACGGUCCUAUGGAUUGUAAACCUCUUUAGUCGGGGAGCAAUGCCGGGCACGUGUGCCCGGAGGGAUAGUACCCGCAGAAUAAGCAUCGGCUAACUCCGUGCCAGCAGCCGCGGUAAUACGGAGGAUGCGAGCGUUAUCCGGAUUUAGUGGGUUUAAAGGGUGCGUAGGCGGAUUUUUAAGUCAGCGGUAAAAUGUCCGGGCUCAACCCGGGCCGGCCGUUGAAACUGGGGAUCUUGAGUGGGCGAGAAGUAUGGGGAAUGCGUGGUGUAGCGGUGAAAUGCAUAGAUAUCACGCAGAACUCCGAUUGCGAAGGCAGCAUACCGGCGCCCGUCUGACGCUGAGGCACGAAAGCGUGGGGAUCGAACAGGAUUAGAUACCCCGGUAGUC